UACGUAGGGUGCGAGCGUUGUCCGGAAUUAUUGGGCGUAAAGAGCUCGUAGGCGGUUUGUCGCGUCGACUGUGAAAACCUACAGCUUAACUGUGGGCUUGCAGUCGAUACGGGCAGACUUGAGUUCGGUAGGGGAGACUGGAAUUCCUGGUGUAGCGGUGGAAUGCGCAGAUAUCAGGAGGAACACCGGUGGCGAAGGCGGGUCUCUGGGCAGUAACUGACGCUGAGGAGCGAAAGCGUGGGGAGCGAACAGG
rnacentral:rRNA from 1 species